rnacentral:rRNA from 1 species
UGGGGAAUAUUGGACAAUGGGGGCAACCCUGAUCCAGCAAUGCCGCGUGUGUGAAGAAGGCCUUCGGGUUGUAAAGCACUUUUAUCGGGAACGAAACAUUGUCGGCCAAUACCCGGCAAGACUGACGGUAGCCGAGGAAUAAGCACCGGCUACCUCCGUGCCAGCAGCCGCGGUAAUACGGAGGGUGCGAGCGUUGUCCGGAAUCAUUGGGCGUAAAGGGCGCGUAGGUGGCCCGGUCAGUCUUUGGUGAAAGCGCGGGGCUCAACCCUGCGUCGGCCAGGGAUACUGCCGCGGCUGGAGCACUGUAGAGGCAGGCGGAAUUCCGGGUGUAGCGGUGGAAUGCGUAGAGAUCCGGAAGAACACCGGUGGCGAAGGCGGCCUGCUGGGCAGUUGCUGACACUGAGGCGCGACAGCGUGGGGAGCAAAC